UAAAAAGAAAAAAAAAAAAGUGAUGAAUAAUACAAAAGUCCCGUUCGAUCAAUCCUCAUUAUUUAAUAUACAUGUAACAUUCACUACCGCGUUCUCGCUAAUUCCACGAAUAAAUUUCGUAUAUCUAAAUACGGCCGCACGAAUGUGUUCGUCACGAAUUUCGAUGAUUUCAUUUAAAGUAAACGUGCUCGGCGAGCAGAUGAUCCACAGUGACUCGUGAUAUCACUGCACAUAGCGGAGCCGCAUGACGUUCGGACACAGGAAUCAAGGACCUCAGUCAACAAGGGCAGAGGAGCACGCACGUGGGCGAGCAUGGCGUCGAUUACGGUCACGCCAGUUUUCGUUUCCGCAGCGAGAUUCCCCCCGUAGUCCACGAGCAUCCGGACACAUUCCUGAUGAUCUUGUAAAACGAAUCCUGUUGCGAUCAGUCGUUGCCGAUUAAUUGGAACAAUUAAUUAUACCUCGUCCCGGAUGUUUACGCAGACAGGAUCCACUGCCUCGAGGAGAACUUGUAAGGUCUCCAGGUGACCCUCACCGGCGGCAAUGUGUAGUGCAGUGCUUCCUGUACCGAUGCACUGAAAAAGAGGCCAUGCACCAGCUUCCAGUAGCCUCUUUAUAGCUGUUUUACUGCCUAGCAUAGAUGCAUGUAUCCGGAUGGACGACAUUGACGGAAGCAUUGGCCGAUGCUAAAAUUUCUACCACCUCAUCAAACUUCAUCAUCUCCUCUUUGUUACUGCAAUCAAGAUUGGCCCCCGCCAGAAGAAGCGGCGUCACACCCUGUUCAUCCUGCGCAUCGACCAUCGCUCCUGCAUUAACCAACAUUCUUACGAUUUCCGGCUCAUUAGCUCGCACAGCCUGAUGUAAAGGCGUUCUGCCCCAGCAUUCAGUUACACCCACGUUUCGGCCAAUCGGACAGUCUGGUUCCAUGGUCAUGUUUGUAGCGUAAGGCAUAUCCUUCGGCCAGGAAUUGAUGCCGACUUUACUGUUGACAUUGGCGCCAUGCUCGAGGAGCCACUUGACUAUCUCGACGUUGCUGUGGUGAAUCGCGUAAUACAACGCGGUUCUACCGAGUUUGUCAGAAAUAUUGAUGUCCGCACCUUUCUCGUAGAGGAGUUCCAGCAAAUUUAACCGACCUCGCCAACUGGCCAGUUGAACGGCAGUUACCCGAAGCGCACCGGCUGCUUCCAAAAA